rnacentral:lncRNA from 1 species
AAACCACCAAGAGGAGAAUGAAGAGCGUCAGGACUCUGGAAGAGGCCAAGCGGAAAUGGCCCAGCUGAGCCUGGAGCCCUCUACCACCGAGCGGCAGGAGGGGAAAGCUCGGAGUGACUCAUGCCAGAGACAUAAAGAAAAGAAGAUUUCUGAGACCCUAACAUCAUCAGAGAGAAAGCAGAAAUUCUCACAGGUUGACGCAGAGAUGACAGGUUUUCCUCCUUUUUUGACAACGACGAAGAGGAGGAGGAAUUUGAAACACCAAGCAUGUCAUUUGAAGAAGACUUAUGACGAGCCCCAAAAUAAGAAAUGGUCAACCCCUCUGUGUCACCUGGGGAGGAAGAGCAAUUCCCCACCAUCUUCUGGUUCUGCAACAGCAGCCUCAAUGGGCCCAUCACAAAUGUCCAAAGACCCAGCUGCAAGAGAACAACUGCGGAAAGGGCAGAGCAAGAGGCACCUGAGGCUCCUCAACCAAAGAGGGUAAGUUCUGAAGGCUCUGCAAGUGAACCAAGGAUGUAGCAUCAGCUGCUCUCACUCCUCUGCCCUCUGGGGCUUCUUACUUUUCCCCUCGGAGGUGCUGCCUCUGUAAAACCUUGACUCUUGAGUCUUUUUCUUCAACUUUGAAACACUUUGCUCUUCUAAAAGUGUUUGUAUCGUCUUAGCAGCCUUUUGCCAUGCUGAAAAGGGGCCUCCUAUCCAUGUUAUGGGUAUGUGACCUGCACGCACAUUGUCUCCUUCCAGAUCCUCUUAGACAGGGAAGUAACACUCCCAGACAUCCCCCUGCCGCCCAUCCAGGCCAGCUGGGACCCUCUUCCAGCUCCAGAGUCCCAGACCUCCGAGAACAUCAGGAGAGCUCAAGCAAACCACACUCUGCCUCUGGAGUCCCCGCCAAGGGCCCCUCAGGAGGAAGACUGGACCCAGGAGAAUUGGGGGACUGGAGGAGCUCUGCUGCCAGACAACACCAACAUAAACCCAGUCCCCUACCUGUAUUGGUACCCUCCAGCCUUCCCAGUACCAGCUCCUGUGGUCCAGUAUAUCCUGCGCCCGAGGUAUCGAAGCCUCAUCAAGCCUAUACGGGCCAAAUUCCCCUGCUACCCCAUCCUCAGAAAACCAACAGUGAAGAGCUUUUACAGGAGGACCAUCAGAAAACGAAUUUAGAAUGAAGACCCCCAGGUCUCUUCUUCUCGCGGGGAAUGGUAAGGCCUUUCUCCAAUGCUUCCCACCUCUCUGUCCGCUUUCCCAAGAAAAUAUGCGCCUUUCCAUAAAGCCCCAGGGCAUCCUGCUUUCCUUGGCCCCUCACGUUCAAGAGGAGAAAUGGUGGAUUAUUUGGUUGGAGGACCUUUUGACAGGCGGAAAUAAUCAGCCUAUAACCAGUGACCCGCGGGUUCAAAGGAAUUGUGUUUUUUCACAGAAACAGCUAAGUAGCCCACAUCUUCUCCUGCUGCUACCAAACCGUGGCUCCAUCCGAGGGCUCCAUCCCCGCCGUGUUUUGCUGCGGUUACAACUCGGGCUGAGCGGAUCCCCGUGAGACAGACCGUGGUUCGGGCAGAGACAAGGCUCCUCCCCAGGUCCAGGCUGCGUGUUUCCUCGGGUGGCCACGAAGGACACUAUCUCAGCCCAGUGACACCCCACGGCACUCACCCUCGCCAUCAGACGGAAGGGAACGCUCCCCAAAAACACACACAAAGUGCCCACCGGCUCGGCCACGGAGCUCUCCCCCCACCACAAGCUGAAAUGCUUUUUCCCCCUGCGUUUUCCAGACUCUACAUCGAGAUCAGGGGGAUACAAAAUCCUCGGUCCUCUCCAAAAGCCCCAGAGUCCAAGAGCUGCGUGACUUAAUGAAUUAUAAAUUGGAAGCCGCUGCUGGAGACGCUUGCUCCGAGCACAGCGGCAAAGGCAAGCUGGUGUGGGAGUUUGUUUAAAAAGCCAGUAUUAGAAUGGCAGCAGGGUCGGGAGGAAGAACUGCUUCACUAAAAUAAAAUUAAAAAAAAAAAGAUAUUUAGCCCA